GUGGUUGUGGCUCAGUGGUAGAGCGCUUGCCUGUCAUGUGUGAGGCACUGGGUUUGAUUCUCAGCAUCACA
rnacentral:tRNA from 1 species